GAUGAACGCUAGCGGGAGGCUUAACACAUGCAAGUCGAGGGGUAACAUGAGGUAGCAAUACUUUGAUGACGACCGGCGCACGGGUGAGUAACGCGUAUGUAACCUACCUUGUACAGGGGGAUAGACCGGAGAAAUUCGGAUUAAUACCCCAUAAUGAUAUCUGAAGGCAUCUUUAGAUAUUUAAAGUUUCGACGGUACGAGAUGGGCAUGCGUGACAUUAGCUAGUUGGUAAGGUAACGGCUUACCAAGGCUGCGAUGUCUAGGGGUCCUGAGAGGGUGAUCCCCACACUGGUACUGAGACACGGACCAGACUCCUACGGGAGGCAGCAGUGAGGAAUAUUGGUCAAUGGGCGUAAGCCUGAACCAGCCAUCCCGCGUGAAGGAAGAAGGCGCUAUGCGUCGUAAACUUCUUUUCCGGAGGAAUAAAAUUUCGUACGUGUACGGGACUGAAGGUACUCCGGGAAUAAGCAUCGGCUAACUCCGUGCCAGCAGCCGCGGUAAGAC
rnacentral:rRNA from 1 species